rnacentral:rRNA from 6 species
ACAAACGACUCUCGGCAACGGAUAUCUCGGCUCACGCAUCGAUGAAGAACGUAGCAAAAUGCGAUACUUGGUGUGAAUUGCAGAAUCCCGUGAACCAUCGAGUUUUUGAACGCAAGUUGCGCCCGAAGCCAUCCGGCCGAGGGCACGCCUGCCUGGGCGUCACGC